rnacentral:tRNA from 1 species
AUGGCCGAGUAGGCAUUAGACUGUAAAUCUAAAGACAGGGGUUUCAGCCCCCUUUCUACCA